GAUGAAGAACGCAGCGAAAUGCGAUAAGUAAUGUGAAUUGCAGAAUUCAGUGAAUCAUCGAAUCUUUGAACGCACCUUGCGCUCCUUGGUAUUCCGAGGAGCAUGCCUGUUUGAGUGUCAUGAAAUUCUCAACCUUUUCAGCUUUCUUUGUUGAUCAGGCUUGGAUGUGGGAGUAUGCGGGCUUCUCAGAAGUCGGCUCUCCUGAAAUGCAUUAGCGGGACCUUUGUUGCCUGGCUUUUGUGUGAUAAUUAUCUACGCCAUUGUAGUCAAGCAGCUUAAAAUGAGGUUUCAGCUUCUAACCGUCUCCCCUGAGACAACUUUUUGACAAUUUGACCUCAAAUCAGGUAGGACUACCCGCUGAACUUAAGCAUAUCAAUAAGCGGAGGA
rnacentral:misc_RNA from 1 species